GCGGGCGGGAGCUGAGGCCCCACACCCAGCACAGGCCGCUGCUGCCGGAUAUGAAGACCCCAGGUCUCAGCAUGGCUGGACGCACGGCCCAGCCCCUGCAGGCACCAGGUGGCCUGAGGAAGACGAAGAUAAAGGCACCAGGCACAGGGAAGAUCCUCCUGCCAGUCCUUCCUGACCAAACACAGGACCUGGCGCCAGGCACUGAGAUUUGACUAGGGGAUGGUGACGGUGACCAUGCUACUGGUGAUGGUGAGGGAGAAGAGAGGACCCACACCCCCUCCCUGAAGAGGCCUGCAUGGGAUGAAGUGUGUUACUGUGUAAACACAGGGACUUCCCCUCCUCCCUGUCACCUGCGGCCCUGUGCCCACUUCCGGGCAGGUGGCCUGCCUCCUUCUGUGACCCA